rnacentral:rRNA from 1 species
UACGGAGGGGGCUAGCGUUGUUCGGAAUUACUGGGCGUAAAGCGCACGUAGGCGGCUUUGUAAGUUAGAGGUGAAAGCCCAGGGCUCAACCCUGGAAUUGCCUUUAAGACUGCAUCGCUAGAAUUGUGGAGAGGUAAGUGGAAUUCCGAGUGUAGAGGUGAAAUUCGUAGAUAUUCGGAAGAACACCAGUGGCGAAGGCGACUUACUGGACACAUAUUGACGCUGAGGUGCGAAAGCGUGG